rnacentral:rRNA from 1 species
UACGUAGGGUGCAGGCGUUAAUCGGAAUUACUGGGCGUAAAGCGUGCGCAGGCGGCUCCUUAAGUCAGAUGUGAAAUCCCCAGGCUCAACCUGGGAACUGCGUCUGAUACUGGAUGGCUUGAAUUCGGGAGAGGGAUGCAGAAUUCCAGGUGUAGCGGUGAAAUGCGUAGAUAUCUGGAGGAAUACCGGUGGCGAAGGCGGCAUCCUGGACCGACAUUGACGCUGAUGAGCGAAAGCCAGGGGAGCAAACGGG